AAACACAAAGGUUUGGUCCUAGCCUUUCCAUUAGUUAUUAAUAGGAUUACACCUGCAAGCCUCUGCACCAUGGUGAAAAUGCCCUCUAAGUCAUUAAUGAUUUAAAGGAGCCGAUAUCAAGCACACAACAACAUAGCUCAUGACACCUUGCUUAUCCACACUCCCACAGGACAGCAGUGAUAAAAAUUAAGCCAUGAAUAACAGUUUGACUAAACCAUAUUAAAUUAGGGUUGGUAAAUUUCGUGCCAGCCACAACGGUCAUACAAUUAACCUGACCUAAUAGACCUAUGGCGUAAAGUAUGUUAAAGAGGAGCCUCAUGCUAAAAUUAAAUUUUAACUAGGCUGUAAAAAGCUGCAGUUAACAUAAAAAUAUAACACCAAAGUAACUUUAACACCUCUGACCACAUGAUAGCUAAGACCCAAACGGGGAUUAGCUAUCCCACUAUGCUCAGCCCUAAACUUAGCUAGCUAAACAAAUCUAUCCUCCAGAGAUCUACUAGCAACAGCUUAAAACUCAAAGGACUUGGCGGUGUUUUAUAUCCUCUGGAGGAGACUGUUCUAUAAUCAAUAAACCCUGAUAUACCUCACCACCCCUUGCUAAACCAGUCUAUAUACUGCCAUCUUCAGCAAACCCCAAAAAGGAAGAAAAGUAAGCACAAGUAACAUAAAAAAAGUUAGGUCAAGGUGUAACCUAUGAGGUGGAAAGUAAUGGGCUACAUUUUCUAUAUUAAAACAUAUUUCCAUGAAAGCCCUUAUGAAAUUAAGAACCCAAGGAGGAUUUAGUAAUAAAUUGAGAAUAGAGAGCUCGAUUGAAUUGGACCAUGAAGCACGCACACACUGCCUGUUACCCUCCUCAAGUGACAAAAAUCUAAAGAUAACCUAUUCAGACUAUAAAAAACACAAGAGGAGACAAGUUGUAACAAGGUAGGCAUACCGGAAAAUGUGCUUGGAUAAAACAAGAU
rnacentral:ncRNA from 1 species